rnacentral:tRNA from 1 species
GGGGGCUAUAACUCAACGGAAGAGUGCAGGUCUACGGAACCUGAAGUUAGGGGUUCAAAUCCUCUUAGUCCCCA